GAACCACUGGUUUAGUGGUUUGCGUUUUGGACUAUGACUCUGGAGAUCAGGGUUCGAAUCCCUGCUUGCUCA